rnacentral:siRNA from 1 species
AUCGAUGCCUGAAGGAAUUCUCC